UAUAGAUUCUCUAUCUCCUGGAGCAGAGUCAUUCCUAAUGGUAGAGGGCCAGUUAAUCCAGAAGGGGUGCAGUAUUAUAAUAACUUGAUCAAUGAAGUCAAGAAAUAUGGAAUUGAACCUCAUGUCACUCUUCUUCACUUUGACCUCCCCCAAUCUUUGGAAGAUGA